rnacentral:rRNA from 1 species
AAAUUGAAGAGUUUGAUCAUGGCUCAGAUUGAACGCUGGCGGCAGGCCUAACACAUGCAAGUCGAACGGUAACAGGAAGCAGCUUGCUGCUUUGCUGACGAGUGGCGGACGGGUGAGUAAUGUCUGGGAAACUGCCUGAUGGAGGGGGAUAACUACUGGAAACGGUGGCUAAUACCGCAUAACGUCGCAAGACCAAAGAGGGGGACCCUCGGGCCUCUUGCCAUCAGAUGUGCCCAGAUGGGAUUAGCUAGUUGGUGAGGUAACGGCUCACCAAGGCGACGAUCCCUAGCUGGUCUGAGAGGAUGACCAGCCACACUGGAACUGAGACACGGUCCAGACUCCUACGGGAGGCAGCAGUGGGGAAUAUUGCACAAUGGGCGCAAGCCUGAUGCAGCCAUGCCGCGUGUAUGAAGAAGGCCUUCGGGUUGUAAAGUACUUUCAGCGGGGAGGAAGGUG